UUUCAGGAAGAUGCAAAGUCUGCAUUGAGGU
rnacentral:piRNA from 1 species